AGCGAACGCUGGCGGCAGGCUUAACACAUGCAAGUCGAACGAACCCUUCGGGGGUUAGUGGCGGACGGGUGAGUAACACGUGGGAACGUGCCCUUAGGUUCGGAACAACACAGGGAAACUUGUGCUAAUACCGGAUAAGCCCUUACGGGGAAAGAUUUAUCGCCUUUGGAGCGGCCCGCGUCUGAUUAGCUUGUUGGUGAGGUAAAGGCUCACCAAGGCUACGAUCAGUAGCUGGUCUGAGAGGAUGGCCAGCCACAUUGGGACUGAGACACGGCCCAAACUCCUACGGGAGGCAGCAGUGGGGAAUCUUGCGCAAUGGGGGAAACCCUGACGCAGCCAUGCCGCGUGGAUGAUGAAGGUCUUAGGAUUGUAAAAUCCUUUCAGC
rnacentral:rRNA from 1 species